GCAUGAUGGCUCAGUGGUAGAGCAAUGGAAUCGCAAUCGGGAGGUCCUCGGUUCGAAACCUAGUCAAUGCG
rnacentral:tRNA from 1 species